GGUGGAGCGAACCCCUAAAAGACCGUCCCAGUUCAGAUCGCAGUCUGCAACCCGACUGCGUGAAGUCGGAAUCGCUAGUAAUCGCGGAUCAGCAUGCCGCGGUGAAUACGUUCCCGGGUCUUGUACACACCGCCCGUCACACCAUGGGAGUCGGAAAUGCCCGAAGCCGGUGACCCAACCAAAAGGAGGGAGCCGUCGAAGGCAGGUCUGAUAACUGGGGUGAAGUCGUAACAAGGUACC
rnacentral:rRNA from 1 species